rnacentral:misc_RNA from 1 species
AAGUCGUAACAAGGUUUCCGUAGGUGAACCUGCGGAAGGAUCAUUAUCGGGUUCUGAAACGGGUUGUAGCUGGCCUUCCGAGGCAUGUGCACGCCCUGCUCAUCCACUCUACACCUGUGCACUUACUGUGGGUUUCAGGAGCUUCGAAGCGGGGGCUUAAUCGCCUUCGCCGAGUUGUUACUGGGCCUACGUUUACCACAAACACUUUAAAGUAACAGAAUGUAAUCGCGUCUAACGCAUCUAUAUACAA